rnacentral:rRNA from 1 species
AUACGGAGGGUGCAAGCGUUAAUCGGAAUUACUGGGCGUAAAGCGUGCGUAGGUGGUUUGUUAAGUUAGAUGUGAAAGCCCCGGGCUCAACCUGGGAACUGCAUUUGAAACUGGCAUACUAGAGUAUAGGAGAGGAAAGUGGAAUUUCAGGUGUAGCGGUGAAAUGCGUAGAUAUCUGAAGGAACAUCAAUGGCGAAGGCAGCUUUCUGGACUAAUACUGACACUGAGGUACGAAAGCGUGGGUAGCAAACAGGAUUAGAGACCCUAGUAGUCC